rnacentral:rRNA from 1 species
UGCGCAGGCGGUUGAGUAAGACAGAUGUGAAGUCCCCGAGCUUAACUCGGGAAUGGCAUAUGUGACUGCUCGACUAGAGUGUGUCAGAGGGAGGUGGAAUUCCACGUGUAGCAGUGAAAUGCGUAGAUAUGUGGAAGAACACCGAUGGCGAAGGCAGCCUCCUGGGACAUAACUGAGCUCAGGCACGAAAGCGUGGGGAGCAAACA